rnacentral:rRNA from 1 species
GAUGAACGCUGGCGGCGUGCCUAAUACAUGCAAGUCGAACGAAGCCUUCGGGCUUAGUGGCGAACGGGUGAGUAACACGUUGGUACCUACCCUCUAGUGGGGAAUAACUGGCCGAAAGGUCGGCUAAUACCGCAUAAUACCGCAAGGUUAAAGCAGCAAUGCGCUAGAGGAGGGGCCUGCGUCCCAUUAGCUUGUUGGUAGUGUAAUGGACUACCAAGGCGACGAUGGGUAGCUGGAUCGAGAGGUUGACCAGCCACACUGGGACUGAGAUACGGCCCAGACUCCUACGGGAGGCAGCAGUAAGGAAUCUUCCACAAUGGACGAAAGUUUGAUGGAGCAACGCCGCGUGCAGGAUGACGGCCUUCGGGUUGUAAACUGCUUUUAUAUGGGAAGAUUAUGACGGUACCAUAUGAAUAAGGACCGGCUAACUACGUGCCAGCAGCCGCGGUAA